GAUAAACGCUGGCGGCGCACAUAAGACAUGCAAGUUGAACGGACUUAAUCGAAAUAUUUAUAUUUUGAAGCGGUUAGUGGCGGACUGGUGAGUAACGCGUAAGGAACCUGCCUAUUAGAGGGGAAUAGCAGUGAGAAAUCAUUGCUAAUACCGCAUAUGCCAUAGAUAUCACAUGAUAACAGUGGGAAAGGAGCAAUCCGCUAAUAGAUGGCCUUGCGUCUGAUUAGAUAGUUGGUGGGGUAACGGCCUACCAAGUCGACGAUCAGUAGCCGGACUGAGAGGUUGAACGGCCACAUUGGGACUGAGAUACGGCCCAGACUCCUACGGGAGGCAGCAGUCGGGAAUAUUGCGCAAUGGAGGAAACUCUGACGCAGUGACGCCGCGUAUAGGAAGAAGGUUUUCGGAUUGUAAACUAUUGUCGUUAGGGAAGAGAAAGGACAGUACCUAAGGAGGAAGCUCCGGCUAACUACGUG
rnacentral:rRNA from 1 species